CGGAGGCGGGAUGGUCGCAGGUGGCGAAGCAACCGCCUGAGAGGCGGGGCUAGAGGGGCCUCGGUGGCGCAAGAGGACCUAGCAGACACAGUGGAGACGCGAAAGGGAGACCAGUCUUCCCCAGGUUCCGAUGCUGGAGGAGGCGACACCCAUUGGGCAGAGGAGCCUUAGGGUUCCACGAAGGAAUCCCGUAGGCCGGCUUCUGCGUAGAGAGAUCCCCGGAACUGGGGGAACCCACGCAGAGGCUCACUCCCGAGUGGCGGGCGGAACUGCAGGCAGUGCGGCCAAGAACGGAAUCGCCCCUGGCCGGGUCUCCACCCACGUGACGAGUUUGGGCGCCCGCACCGCGGAGCCGCGGAGCGGCCGCAGUGCGGUGGGCGCCGGAGUGUGCGCGCUCCCGCUGCCGCGACAGCUGUUGAGAUCCGGAGGUAAAGGGCCCCCAGAGCCUCCUGGGUGGAGAGGGAGGGCGCCCCUCGGCGUCCGGCAGGGGGCUCUCUCUCCCCGCUAUCCCCGGGCAGGGCGCCGCAUCCCUGCCGCCUGGAUCACGUUCCCUCCAGCCUUGAGGAGGAAAACUGCGUUCAUUUCUGAUUAAAAAAUGACUAUUUUUAAAAAUGAGCUUUACUCUUUAUUUCUCUCUGUCCUCUCCCACGGCUAGAGACAGAAAGCGACACCGAGAAUCCAUUCCAAGCGAGCAGCCAAGAGGAAACGCAGCAGCUCCCAGAUGUUGAUGUUUUGUUUUUUGACAUAAAUCUUUGCACUCAUAUGGGAGUUUUCAUUGA